rnacentral:rRNA from 1 species
GAUUGCCCUAGUAACGGCGAGUGAAGCGGCAACAGCUCAAAUUUGAAAUCUGGCGCAAGCCCGAGUUGUAAUUUGUAGAGGAUGCUUCUGGGUAGCGACCGAUCUAAGUUCCUUGGAACAGGACGUCAUAGAGGGUGAGAAUCCCGUAUGUGACCGGCCCGCACCCUUUACGUAGCUCCUUCGACGAGUCGAGUUGUUUGGGAAUGCAGCUCUAAAUGGGAGGUAAAUUUCUUCUAAAGCUAAAUACCGGCCAGAGACCGAUAGCGCACAAGUAGAGUGAUCGAAAGAUGAAAAGUACUUUGGAAAGAGAGUUAAAAAGCACGUGAAAUUGUUGAAAGGGAAGCGCCUGCAACCAGACUUCGCGGCAGUGUUCCGCCGGUCUUCUGACCGGUUCAUUCUCUGUCGCGAGGCCAUCAUCGUCUGGGCCCGCCGGAUAAGACCUUAGGAAUGUAGCUCACCUUCGGGGGAGUGUUAUAGCCUAGGGUGAUGCGGCGAGGCUCGGGCGAGGUCCGCGCUUCGGCAAGGAUGAUGGCGUAAUGGUUGUCGGCGGCCCGUCUUGAAACACGGACCAAGGAGUCUAACAUCUAUGCGAGUGUUCGGGUGUCAAACCCCUACGCGUAAUGAAAGUGAACGGAGGUGGGAACCGCAAGGUGCACCAUCGACCGAUCCUGAUGUCCUCGGAUGGAUUUGAGUAAGAGCAUAGCUGUUGGGACCCGAAAGAUGGUGAACUAUGCCUGAAUAGGGUGAAGCCAGAGGAAACUCUGGUGGAGGCUCGCAGCGGUUCUGACGUGCAAAUCGAUCGUCAAAUUUGGGUAUAGGGGCGAAAGACUAAUC